rnacentral:rRNA from 1 species
AUACGGAGGGUGCAAGCGUUGUUCGGAAUUACUGGGCGUAAAGCGCGCGUAGGCGGUCUGUUAUGUCAGAUGUGAAAGUCCUCGGCUCAACCGGGGAAGUGCAUUUGAAACUGGCAGACUUGAGUACUGGAGGGGGUGGUGGAAUUCCCGGUGUAGAGGUGAAAUUCGUAGAUAUCGGAGGAAUACCGGUGGCGAAGGCGACCACCUGGCCAGAUACUGACGCUGAGGUGCGAAAGCGUGGGGAGCAAACAGGAUUAGAAACCCUAGUAGUCC